AUCUGUCAUGACCAUCCACCUUCUGUUGUAUGCAGGGAACACAGCAACCUCUUCUGGACAAACGUGAAAGUAGCAGAGGGUGUAAUGGAGCCAACACAACAGACAUUUGAAAAGGUCUUCAACCCAAGGAUGGACAAAGCCAGAAAAAUGACACGUAACUUUGGACUGCUGCAGUUCAGCUUCAGAUGAUCCCCUCACUCCCCCAGCCUCAGCCACCGCCAACGCAGUUAAAUGCCAAAAUUGAAGCAUCUAUUAAAACAAGCAUGGAUUCUUUAGGCAAUGUAAGUAAGGAUAAUAUUCAGACAGGUACAACUAUCAGACACUGAUAUCAGCAUCAGACAAUAACAACAAUUUCAGUGCAUCGUGAAAUAAUAUCAACAUUAACAAAGGAAAACAAAACAACCAAACAACUUAAGGUUGGAUAAAUUACACACUUAUAUGAACACUCUGACUGGGAUGUAAAAGAAUAAUUUUGUCGCCUCUAGAAAACAUAUGAAGAAAUGCCAGUUUUGAAAAAUGUCAUCUUUAAAAGGCAAAUCUAAAUGUCAGAGAGACAGAUACUUUACACAUAGAGAGCGCUGCCUUCUGGGCGUAACACACAGAGGCGUGAGAAUAAUAUUUUUUCCCAGUUGAAAUGAACUGCAAUUACCCGGCAUCAAGCAUACAAAGCAGUACACUCACAUUCACAUAGCCUGGAGAGGAGCGUGGUCACUGUUUGCCACAUUACUCAGGAAAUCAGGGAAAAGAAAGCAAAAAAAAUGUUUUUUUAAUGUCACAGGGAAAAAAGACACUUUACUAUGUUACAAUCUUCAAUAUGCUACUGAGAAGUUAUAAAAUAUAAUAAAUUUAGCGUCAGAUAAAGAGCUGUAACGAUUGGACAAUAAAUUGAUCAAUCUUUUUUCAGGGAAAAAUACCAAACUUUUGGGAAACAAAGCCAUUUGAAGAUGUCAUCUUCAACUUGUGGAAAUUAUUGGGCUUUUUCUUUUUUAUUUCAGCUUAUGCAGAAAUUACAUACGACAGUCUACUUAAUUUAAAAGAAAAAAUGCUUAAGAAGUGAGUCAGCUCCAUGCAGUGACCUUUUGCUGCAACUGUAAUUAUUCUUGUGUAUUUGCAGAAAAACCAUAGGGUAACACUUUACUAUAACCAUCCCCACCCACAAUUUAGAAUUCAUGAGCACUAUCGAAACAUUUAAUACAUGGUUUAUGCUACACUAUCAUGUAAUAAGCACAUAUAGGGAAAUUUUAAUUGUUUAUUAGUGUAUAGUGUUUGUCUACACUUCUAUUAAAGUCCAGUGUGUAGGCUUUAGGGGCACCUAUUGGCAGAAAAGGUAUAAAACGUUCAUAACUAUUUUUUCAGUAGUGUAAAAUGACCUGAAACUAGGAAUCCUUAUGUUUUCGCUACCUUAGAAUGAACUGUUAUAUCCAUAUAUGGAGCGGGUCCUCUUACACGGAGUCCGCCAUUUUGUUACAGUAACCUGAAAUGAACAAACCAAACGCUUGCUCCAGAUAGGCCCAUACGUGUUUCAUCUUGGCCAUCGUUGUUCGCAUACACUUUUCGCACACAAGAGGGGUUUCAAUUCUGCAACCUAACUGUAAGAUGCCACUAUAUCCUACACACUGGAGCUUUACGACAUAUUUUAUGUUAUUACAACUAUGUUUUACUAUAUUGUCUCAUUAUCUUUUAAUUCACUGGUCUUAACACAUUAGUGUCCACAGGUAUUACAGUUGUUGAUAAAUACAUUAAUAAAGGCAUAUAUAUAUAUAUAUAUAUAUAUAUAAAACAUGUAUUGAAGGUGCUUAUAAAUGCUAAAUAUGAGGAGUUAAAGUUAAGUGUUACCAAAUAUAUUUUGCUCAAAACCAGUUCGCCUCCUGGGUACUGCCGAGGUGUCCUUGAGCAAGGCACCGAACCCCCAACUGCUCGGGUCACCUGUCCAUGGGCAGCCUAACAUCACUCCAUUUAAUGCAUGUAAAGGUCUUGUUUGUGCAUGUGUGUAUUUCGGACCUGUGUGUAUAUGACAAUAGAGUGAAAAAAUUGAACUUCCCCUCGGGUAUUAAUAAAAGUAUCUUCUUAUAAAAGUUCUUCUUCUUAAAUAACUGCGGCUAAUUGAUUGAAGCUUACUGUACGGCUGAAGAUGUUUCACAAUAUAACAGAGUUAAUAGAGCUUGUUUGCAUUACAGCUGUUGCACAUGGGUGUUUUCAAGUGUUAAUUUCAGUAUAUGUAUUUGGUUAUAUUCUUCUGUUUAUUUGUGCGUGGGCGAGUCUGGCUCAGCUGUUGGCAUGGGGUCACAGCUCCUGCCCUAAAGAGAGCAGAGAUGAAGCAAGUGGAGCAGCAAGCCCUGUUUGGGUCUAAAUUUUGCAUGCUGGUGAAUGUCAAUCUCAUGAAUAAGCAAAGCAGGAAUAAAGCCUUCCUUGGUGCUCAGUUUGUUUUAAAGUUUGUUGGGAAAACGUUCAUACUCCUCAGUGGGAAAUAUGAGCAGAGCCCCAAGUGGGUGAUUCAAGCCCAUUUCAAUUAUCACUGGGGCUUUUGCAGGUAAGUAGCUGAAUAAAAACCACAAGGAAAGAGGGGGAGGAAGAUGUGGGGAAAACUGAGGUGCAAGCAUAGUUGGAGUCAGGAGAAAAAAAGGAGGUACAGACAGAGAAGACAGAUGGAACUGAGGGAAAGCGAGGUGAAAGAGAAAGGCUCGCCUGUCUGCUGUGUUCCUGCUGUCCCAGGUCAUGUGUUUUUAUAUUAAUGGUUGAGGUCAUGUGUCAGGUCAGGGAUAGCUAAUCUUAACUCCGUGGCUGGAGGGCACCUUCACCCCACAGGGCAUUUAGGUAUCUCUACAACCUAACAGAGAACCACCGGGCUCUUCUCUUAGCAUGCAAAUGAGACAGGAACAAAUGUCCCGUCACUUCUGGGGCUCCAUGUCCCAAAGUGCUUAACACUCUUCCUGUCAACCCCCCUUCUCCAGCUGCUUCAAAAACCCCUCCUGCACCUCCCUCACUCCUCUUUCCUCCCUCUUAUGUUCUUUAAAUGAGCUUUCCAACUCCACUUCUUUCUCGCAAUUCAAUUUUACAAGGCCAUUAUCCCGGGUGUAAUGUGGAGGUUAAAUAUAUCGGGGCAGACAUUAUGUGAAAAUAAUUAGUGCUAAUGAAUAAUGCACUCAUUCAGCUGAUGAAGGAUGGUUGUCGGGGUAAUGGAGUGCAAGGGAGGGGCCCCUCUGACAAAUGAAAUUAAAAUAUUUAAACACUGUUUUACGAUAUUACCGGGCCCUCACACUCUUUCCCUGUUACCUACUCGCUCCAUGAAGCAGGCCGGCCUCGAUGUGACAUGAUAGCUCUGCCAUUACUCAUGCACAGCAUCUGUCUCACUAAAGACAGAGCUCAGAUACAAGGAGGAAAUGUCCCCCACACCACUCUUUUACAGUACCUUACACCACAGCUAAUCAUCCCUGCCCUGAUAAUCAGGACAUCAGAGACGCCAAUCCAUAUCGACAGGCACUGUCUCUGCCAGGUUAUAUUUCGUCCCCUUUAUUUAUUGCCACUACACUCAUUCGGCCUCUUACGAUCUCAUUCUGCACCCAUCAUUUGACAAUGAAGGAUGCAGGUUUUAAAUUGCCCAGUUUACAGCACUCUUCUAUCCAAUUGGCCCUCUGGAAUCAAUAAUGGUGGACCAAGCGCUCUGUGACUGAUAAAUGGUAAAGCAUCAACACCAUUUCAUUAGACGCAAUGCUUAGAGGAGGGUGGAGGAAAGUGACGACAGGGGACAGAAAGCUCAUGAGCUGAUACAUAUUGCUCAGUAAUUCAUUCACAAAACUUUAUAAGGUUAGAGGACACUUUGGAUGGAUCGCUUCACCCACUUUUCUAAAAAAAAAUAAACAUCUAUUUCCAACCAAUUUCCAUGUCCAAUACAAUUAAUACAAUUUCAUUUGUGGUGCUGAAGGCAAAAAAUUAUAUUCAAACAAGACUAAAAAUCUACAGCCAUGCUAGCAGCUCUGUAAGGCUGUACUUAGACACAGCAGUACUUUGAGCUAAAUGCUAAUGUCAUCAUGCUAACAUGCUCACAUUGACAGUGCUAUGCUAUCGUGCUAAAUCGGUAUAAUGUUUACCAUACUCAUGACAUGGGAACGUCAUUGGGACAUUGUUAGAGCCGUGGUGAUUUUAUAUUUAUAAAACUUUCCUCAAGCCAAGAAACACAAUUAAAAAAUCUGUGGCAUCAUCACAAGUCUAUAAGGGAGCAGGAGUUCAUGGGUGGGGCCAGUGGGAGAAACACUACUGUGCAUAUUUAGUGGGCUGCAUACCCCAGAGUUAAACUCAGAGGCUAGAAAACCUUUUAGUGUAUGCGCCAGGUGAGCAACUCCACUGGAAUGAAUAGGCACCAUCUUAUCUAGAUGUAUGAAGUUAUUACUACAAUCUAUGCUUUUGCAUUGUUAAACCCAUGUGGCAAGCACACUACAGACUUUCAUGGGCUGAGCAACUAACUUCCAGUUUAGCCCUCCGCUAACUUGAAUGCAGAUAAAAUGAUGUAGUUGUGCAGCUGUUCUUCAGAUUUAAUCCUGAUAAUGAAAUGUGUCACUUUGUGGGGGUUAUGAUGCUUAAAAAAAAUUAUCCACUGACUUACUGAUGUGUUUCCAAUGUACAUCUAUGGGGAUAAGUGGCAUCACGUGACAGACCUGGAAGUUGUAAUUCCACUGUUUGGCUUCUACGAAAAUUAGCUUCAAAGCCUGACACACUUCUUGGGGGCCUGGUACUAAAUAUCAUGGCAAUUCAACCAGUGAUUGCCCAGAAAAUUCAGCCUGGACUUGAGUGGUGGACCAACUGGCAGGCUAACAUUGCCAUCCAUAAAGCCAUGCAGCUAGCAUUGAUAAAAACAGGACAUUGUUUUUGGAAAGUGUUGUUUAUUAAAAAAUAUUUAAAGGUCAAGUGUGUGGGAUGUAGCAGCAUCUAGUGGUAAAGAUGCAGAUUACAACCAAGUGAAACUUUUCCCAUGGGCAAAGCGUGUGAGAGAACAAUGGUGGCAGAUGUGAAAAUGUGAAAAUGCAAAUGGCCCUAUCUAGAGGCACUGUUUAGUUUGUCCGUUCUGGGCUACUGUAGAAACAUUAUGGUGGACUCCCUGAAAAAUACGAUCCAUAUGUAGAUAUAAACAGCUCAUUCUAGGGUAAGGAAAACAAAAUAAUUCUUAGUUUCAAGUGAUUAUACACUAAUGAAAAAUUUAAAUUUCCCUAAAUCCUACGCACUGGACCUUUAUAUUUAUGUUUUGAUGUCAGCACCACAAAUGAAAUUUCUCUGUCAUCACAGUCAAGUGGAAGCAGAAAUCUAGAUAUUUCAAAACCUGGACAAAUUAAACCAAACUAUUGGCAUUGGUAUUUGGCAUUUUUUUGUGAACUGACCCUUUAAAAAAGGCAAGAGAACGAAAACAACUAACAGUUAUGUCUUGCUGAAUCCUAAAGGGAGAUAUUAACAAUUCUUAGUGACACAAUGUCAAACUGUAUCUCGGAUUGUUACAAAUCAUGCAGGUCUUUAAGUCAGGGUUAUGUUCAGUUUUCACAGGACAACGGGUCGCUGUUAUAAAAGUAGGCUGUAAGCACUGAAGUGUGCUCCUCUUUCCCUGGGGCUUAGCAGAGACAGCCAGCACACCACAGCCAGCCACAUCUGACAACUUUCUUUUAUUAAUCUCAUAUUUUGCAGAUUGGCGCCAUAUACAUUUGACUUGUAAAACAGACCUAAUUACGGGGCCUGUAGCAUAUGAGCCACACAUCAAACAGUAAGUUACAGUAAAAGCCUAUGAUCUCAGCCGCCUUCUCUGCCUCUUUUUUUCCUCCCCUCUCUUGCCUCCGCACACCAGAAACACUGAUUAUAACAGGGACAUUAAAAGGGAAUUACAGCGAAACAAUUUACACUUAAUGUAGCAGUCAUAUGAACAGGGAAGACGGAUGGACAAAGAUAUAGCAGUAUUAAUAAUACAUGCUUUAAUUUAGCAGCUGGGAAUGCAUGGAGCGGGAUCAAGGCACAGGGACAGACAGACAAUGAAAGGGUGGCAGAGAAGGGGGGAAGCAGUGUGAGAAGGAUAGCUGAAGGAAAAGAAGUGAGACGAGAGGCAGAGUGACGGAGAAAGUGUAAAACAGAGUAGAGGGUAAAAAGCGGAGGAGAAUCAGAAUAUGUUGCUGUGGGUUUUUCCGCACACCGUGAUUCAUGGGCAGUAAAUAUGCAAAGCCUGAUGGCCAUAAGGCAAUCAGAGGAGCGCCACUCAUCUACAUGUUGCACAGUGGGCUAUAAUCCAUCUGAGGGGCAAGGAAUAAUGAUACCAGGAAGCAGGAAUAAGAGCAGGGUCUGUUUAUUACCUCAGACAGAUCCAUAAUGCAUACAGAUGUGAGGGAGGCACGCUGCAGCCUCUGGCCAGAGAACUCAGCCGAAAAGUACAGACAGUAAUAUUGUUUUUAGUGUAAUGAAAGACAAUCUGAUUUAAGCACCUAUUAAAGCAUGUAACUCUGCUGUCAUAUAAAGUUUUAAAGCAAGUGUUAGAGCUAUAAUGACCGCUGACAACGAGAGGUUGAGAUGGACAUAAAGAGAGAAGCAGGAAUUAACCUCAAAGGCAACUGUAAGGUCACCAAAACAUUGUAUGCAUAUUGCAAUAUAGGUGUACACUUAAGUAUAGUGAAAUGUGCAGUUAUAAUUUGGUCCAAAUAUGCAUGUCAGACUUGUAUACAUAAAAGCUACG